GGUUUUUUCAAGCACUGUGUGCACUGACUUUUUUAUUCCCAAAUGGAAUAUCCAAGAUUUGGUUGGGAUGGCAGCAUCUAGUUCUCUUGUCUGACCCAGAAUCGAUAGAGGAUCUGCUAAUGAACACCAAAAACUUACGCAGAUCUCAUCAUUAUUAUUUUUUAAGCAACUGGUCAGAAAGAGGAAUAUUAAUGAGCACUAACAGCGCAUGGAGACAACGCAGAAAAAUGUUGACGCCUGCCUUUCACUUUCGGAUCCUGGAGAGCAGUAUUGAUAUCUUCAAUCAAGAGUCCAGGAUAUUAGUUGAAAAACUUCAGCAGAAGACAGGCGAAGAAUAUGUGGAUAUCACGAAACUGUUCUCUCUGUGUACUCUAGAUAUACUCA